rnacentral:lncRNA from 9 species
UGUGGGUAAGUGUUGCGCAUGCGUGUAUGUUGGAAAGGUUUACCAGGAUUCUUAAUGAAGUGCAAAACUGUUUGCCAAAGAUCAAGGAGGACAUUAUUAACUGAACCUGAACUGGCAGCUCCCGAGAUCUGAGAAGAUUUAUUUCGUAGGGGGAACCUUAAUAAACUGAAGCAUCCAGAGGAGAAACCAAAAUGGUGGAGAGUUUGGAAGUCUGGUCCUUCCAGGGAGCUGAACGCCCAGAGGAUGUUGCGCUGGAGAAAGCUGGAGAGAGUGAUGGUCCCUGAAUCCAGGGCAGGGUAGGUUGUCCAGCAGAGGACAGUGGAGGAGUGUUGACCUUCCCAGAGGAGAGGAAACCAACCUUCUGUUCCCAGAAGAGAUUUUUCAAGAGAAACCAGAUAAGGAAAAUCUAUUUCUAUUGCUAAUGGUUCAUGUUAAACAUUACACCUCCAGGCAAAAAAACAAAACAUCUCUACAAGCCACAGCAUCUACUAGACAACUGUGAUGGAAACUGCAGAACCAUUCGAAUUUAGCAUUCUGAGCAACAUAAACGACUGGUUUGUAAUGAUUUGAGCAGCUCGAAAUGGGCAGGGUCUUACUGGCUGUGGGGUGGGAGAGUGAGCUCUCCUCUCAUUAGGGAUGUUUAAGCAUAAGGAUACUAAACAAAUAAUGCUGAAAUGUUGGAUGGGGUGACUUUGGAUCAAACCCACUCUUUAAAAUGAAAAUGCCUGGAUCUGACCCCAGAGAGUCCUACAGCAGGUGUGUGGCAAGGCCAGACAUCUGUGUAUCCUAGGAAUCCAGUGGUUCUGAUGGGAAGACAAGAGCUGAACACGUUCCAUUUGACGACCAUCAAGACCUGAAAGGACCACCAUCCUCCUGAAAAACAAAAAACAAAAGCGGAUAAAAACAGACUUGUGGUUGCCAAGGGGGGAGGGGGAGGGAGAGAGACGGGAAGUUUGGGGUUAACAGAUGCAAACUAUUGCAUUUGGAGUGAAUAAGCAAUGAGAUCCUGCUGUAUAGCACAGGGAACUAUAUCUAGUCACUUGUGAUGGAGUUGACGGAGGAUAAUGUGAGAAAAAGAGCGUGUGUGUGUGUGUGUGUGUGUGUGUGUGUAUGACUGGGUCAUUUUGCUGUACUGCAGAAAUUGACAGAACAUUGUAAAUCAGCUAUAGCAGAAAAAAUAAAAAUCUUUAAAAAAAGGAAACAUCAGAAAUAAAUAAUUCAUAACUUGAAAAAAAAAAAGAUUCCAUUCCCCUGAGAUUUGAUAGAUGUGGAGUAAAGAGGCAACUCAAGGAACUGGAGCUGGAUAAUUGGGAAAACUGAUCCAACAUACCCAGACUAGUAUAUGUUCCCCUGCAAAAAUAUGAAUCACACUAUGUUAUUACCUCUUAUCUGGGCAACUGUGACAUGUUAUGGGAUUGUUUCUCUAAUGUCUAUCUCCUCUGCUUCAACGUAAGUUGCAUAAAAAAGGGAAUUUCUUGACCCUGUGAACCAGAAGUCCCACUGUGAGCCAGAGCAGGGAGUGUCUUCUCCUUCUUCAGAUAGUUUAAUGGUUUGUCCCCCUUUAAUUCAAAUCUCUGCUUGACUAGCCUCUUUUCAGAGAUGACUUUCCAAUCCACACACCUGU